CUUCAGUUUCACCUGUGAAGACUGCAUUUUUUGUUAAAAAGGAUUAGCCAACAUAAAGAUAAGAGAGCUGUCUAUGGGAGUCAAGCAAGCCAUUUUGAAGCUGAGAAAAGAGGGAAUUAGAGUCAUUCGACAAACAUUGGGUAUAGCCAGUACAACAAUUUGGAAUGUCCUGAAAAAGAAAGACACCACUGGUGUACUGAGCAACAGACACCGUAAUGGGUCGGCCAAGGAAAACAACAACAGCUGAUAACAGAAAUAUUGUGAGAGCUGUGAAGAAAAACCCAAAAUCAAGAGUCAGUGACAUCACCAAAAACUUCCACAGGGCAUAGGUCAAGAUAUCACAAUCCACCAUUCGAAGAAGACUAGAAGAGCAGAAGUAUAGACUGCAGGGAGAAACCCCCUGAAACAAACAAGAUGUGAAAGAGUCUGUGGUAAAAGCCUGGAAAAGCAUCACAAAAGAAGAAACCAACAAUUUGGUGAUGUCAAUAAGUCUCAAGCUUGAUGCAGUUACUGCGGGGAGCCUGGCGGAAAGCCUGGAACCUAUCCCAGGGGACUUGGGGCACAAUGUUGGGGACACCCUAGACAGGGUGCAAACCCAUCGCAGGGCACUAUUCACACUCUACUGACAAUUUCGAGAUUGUCCAAUCAGCCUACAAAUGCCUGUCUUUGGACUGGAGGAGGAAACCCCUGAAGCACACAGAGCAGAGUAGUUCAUAAGUACACAUAACUACACAUGAUAGUCCUGAGAUGCCAGUGAUGCUGACCCCUUCUGUUCUCU
ensembl:lncRNA